CUAGCCCUACGGGACGCAGCAGUGGGGGAUAUUGCACAAUGGGCGAAAGCCUGAUGCAGCGACGCCGCGUGAGGGAAGACGGUCUUUGGAUUGUAAACCUCUGUCUUUGGGGAAGAAAAUGACGGUACCCAAAGAGGAAGCUCCGGCUAACUACGUGCCAGCAGCCGCGGUAAUACGUAGGGAGCGAGCGUUGUCCGGAAUUACUGGGUGUAAAGGGAGCGUAGGCGGGG
rnacentral:rRNA from 1 species